AAAUUAACUAUGAUAGGAAGAGUAAGUUCAUAUAUUCCUUUUCAGCGAAUUAGGGAUGGUGGAAGCCUAAUGGUAAGUAUGUACUGAAUGACCUCCUGGAGUUGUUUACCUGAAAUUAUAUUAGGGUAAAACGGAGUUCCACCGUUAAAAGGAAAUAAGCGAAUCUAUGAUUUUGGAUUAAGCAGGAUGGUACCGUGGGAUACUACUCUCACUCCUACAAUGGAGUGAGAUUUUUUUAUAUCUUUAUGCCUUCUUAAAACAAAAUUUUUAGAUUAAUUUGGGUGGUACCGCGGAAAUCUUUCGUCCCUGAA
rnacentral:ncRNA from 1 species